ACGAACGCUGGCGGCGUGCUUAACACAUGCAAGUCGAACGGAAAGGCCUGCUUUCCCUUGUGGAUUGCGGGUACUCGAGUGGCGAACGGGUGAGUAACACGUGAGUGAUCUGCCCCCAACUUGGGUAUAAGCCUGGGAAACUGGGUCUAAUUCCCGAUAGGACUGCAGGGUGGUGCCUGUGGUGGAAAACGAUUUUCUAGUGGUUGGGGAUGAGCUCGCGGCCUAUCAGCUUGUUGGUGGGGUAAUGGCCUACCAAGGCGGCGACGGGUAGCCGGCCUGAGAGGGUGGACGGCCCCAUUGGGACUGAGAUACGGCCCAGACUCCUACGGGAGGCAGCAGUGGGGAAUAUUGCACAAUGGGCGGAAGCCUGAUGCAGCGACGCCGCGUGGGGGAUGACGGCCUUCGGGUUGUAAACUCCUUUCGACCGCGAGGAAGCCACCUGGUUGGAAGGGUGGUGACGGUAGUGGUAGAAGAAGCACCGGCUAACUACGUG
rnacentral:rRNA from 1 species